CCUACGGGAGACAGCAGUGAGGCAUCUUGGUCAAUGGACGAGAGUCUGAACCAGCCACGUAGCGUGAAGGAUGACUGCCCUAUGGGUUGUAAACUUCUUUUAUAUGGGCAUAAAAUGUUUCACGUGUGGGGUUUUGUAUGUACCAUAUGACUAAGGAUCGGCUAACUCCGUGCCAGCAGCCGCGGUAAUACGGAGGAUCCGAGCGUUAUCCGGAUUUAUUGGGUUUAAAGGGAGAGUAGGUGGAUUGUUAAGUCAGUUGUGAAAGUUUGCGGCUCAACCGUACAAGUGCAGUUGAAACUGGCAGUCUUGAGUACAGUAGAGGUGGGCGGAAUUCGUGGUGUAGCGGUGAAAUGCGUAGAUAUCACGAAGAACUCCGAUUGCGAAGGCAGCUCACUGGACUGCAACUGACACUGAGGCUCGAAAGUGUGGGUAGCAAACAGGAUUAGAUACCCGAGUAGUC
rnacentral:rRNA from 1 species